GUCUUGUCCCUCCAUGACCAAGGCUGCAAUGUUGUUGUCAGUCAUUGCUGCACAAUGUGUACAUAUGGCUGUUUUCAAAAAUGGAGUUCCAGUGUUUAGGGCGACUGUGUCUCUGUUGAAGAACGGAUCUUAAGUGAUGGGCGUCGAGUCUGCAGACUAAAGAGCAAAGCAGGUCAGAGUCGAGAAGCAGCUGGUUCAACGUUUUAAUGGAGGACAUUAAAAUGGAGGAGAAUAAUUACAGACAUCAAGAAAACCUUCAG